rnacentral:rRNA from 1 species
AAUUAAUAAAGUUUUUUGAUUUGGCUGGAUAUGAAGAUCAAUUAAGAAGUCAAAGAUUAUCGGCGGUGUUUUGUUAAAUUCUGAGAAUCUUGCUAAAUUAAAAUGAUAUUACACAAUUUAUCUUAUCUUAAUUAAUUGGUUUAUGUAUUGCUGUUUAAUUUAUUGUUUGUUAUGAAUUUAGAAUAGAUUUAAUUUGUUUUUAGGCAGAAAAUUCAAGUCAAAAUGUAGUAGUAUUAAGGUUUUAGUGAGUUGCUUUUUUCUAGAGGGAAAGUGUUUAAAAAAUAUGAAAUUGUUUUUGAAGUGGGGAUUAGGUGGUAAAAAGAAAGUAGUUAGUUCUUUUGAUAAAAUUUUCAUUCAAGU